rnacentral:tRNA from 1 species
GUCCUUGUAGUUAAAUUUUAAUAACGAUGGUUUUUCAGACCAUAAAUCUUGGAGAAAAGCCAAGCAAGGAUU